CUUAUACUGCCUUCAUCCGAAAAUACUUGUCAUCAAAAUGGAUAAAAAGAGACGUAUCUAUAACUAAAAUACGUCUAGAUAAAUCCACUUUUAUUCAUUUUGAUGACAAGUAUUUCCGGACGGAGGAAGUACUGU
rfam:Triticum aestivum genome assembly, contig: Triticum_aestivum_CS42_TGACv1_scaffold_592425_7BS